rnacentral:rRNA from 1 species
UACGAAGGGGGCUAGCGUUGCUCGGAAUCACUGGGCGUAAAGGGUGCGUAGGCGGGUCUUUAAGUCAGGGGGGAAAUCCUGGAGCUCAACUCCAGAACUGCCUUUGAUACUGGGAGUCUUGAGUUCGCGAGAGGUGAGUGGAACUGCGAGUGUAGAGGUGAAAUUCGUAGAUAUUCGCAAGAACACCAGUGGCGAAGGCGGCUCACUGGCCCGAUACUGACGCUGAGGUGCGAAAGCGUGGGGAGCAAACAGG